UCCCAUUGGAGAACAGAAAAUUUAAUGAGCUUUUAAUGGAAUGCAAUGCUCAGAGUAGUAAAUUAUUUGUUAGUUGACGAUGCAAUCAGCAUGCUGAUUAAGGUUGCUUGGAUUUUUACUAAACAUUAACUGAAUGAAAACGGGUAGUCCUUGUUCUGCUUGGGGGCUUUAAGGAAGCAAAUGGACUUUCAGAACAGAGAUUGUCAAUAAAGGAAUGUCCAUCUGGACCUCUGAAUGCCAUCCUCUGAGAAGAUGCCCAUGACAGCAAGCACACUGGAGCGCAACACCAUCCUGGGUGAAGAUUUGUUGCAAUUGAAUGUGGAUGUGCUGAUCUCUGUGCUCCUGGAUAUGGAGCUGUUAAUCUCUCCUCAAGAGCUGGAUGCAGGCCCAGGCUGCCAUGUAGCACUGAGUGAUGCCAUGCCAAUUCUAGACAAGGUCUUUAUUGCUGGAAAUGUUGCAUAAUGACAGUUUUAUUCAUGUGAAAACGCAGAAUACAUUUCAACUGUAUGAAAUUGUUUAUGUUCAUCAGAAAUGUUAUUUGUCUUCACAAAGUCUGGUUUCAAUGAACCAGCUAUGUAAUGGAUAU
rnacentral:lncRNA from 1 species